rnacentral:rRNA from 1 species
GACGAACGCUGGCGGCGUGCUUAACACAUGCAAGUCGAACGAAAAGACCCUGCGUUUGUUGGGUGCUCGAGUGGCGAACGCGGGAGUGACACAUGAGUAUCCUGCCCCUAUCUUUGGGAUAACUUCAGGAAACUGCGGCUAAUACCGGAUAUAAUCUCUUGAUGCAUAGUGGGGGUUGGAAAGUUUCGGCUGUUGGGGCUGGAUUGGCGGGUUAUGAGCUGGUUGGUGUGGUAGUUGCUUACCAAGGCUUUGACGGGUAGCCGGCCUGAGAGCGUUAACGGCCACAAUGGGACUGAGAUACGGCCCAGACUCCUACGGGAGGCAGCAGUGGGGAAUAUGGCAGAAUGGCCGGAAGUGUGAUGCAGAAAUGUCGCGAGCGGGAUGACGGCUUUCGGGGUGUAAACAACUUUGGCAGGUGCUGAAGAGUGAGUGACGGUAAUGAGUCAGGAAGCCCCGGCUAACUACGUG